rnacentral:lncRNA from 1 species
AGAUAACUUUAUAGAGAGAACUAGGAAAUCUCUCUCUCAGGUGUUUUCUCAGUGUUCAUCUUUUUCUUUCUUUUCCUGUUCCCUUUCUGCUCCUUUAUCUGCUGCCAACUUCACCUGCCUCACCUUUGUUUCACGGGCCCCAAACCACGCCACAGCACUCACUCACACUCACCCACGUCUCCUCCCCUCAUUCCAUUUCAGCUAGAGGAGCUUUCUCGACAUUAACGCUUCCCUCGCCUGGAACUCUUCAUGUAACCCAGCUGAUAGGCAGUUCUCCUUGGGUUGUCCUCUCCUCCCCUUCCAAGGCUGAGGGAAGAAGGCAAAAAGCCCGGUGCUGGCAGAGGCAAAUUGGCCACCCCAGGGAAGACCGGGCUAAUGUGACAGCCUCAAGCAACAGAGAAGGAAGAUUAGCCCUGAGCUAACAUCUGCUGCCAAUCCUCCUCUUUUGGCUGAGGAAGAUUGACCCUGAGCUAACAUCUUUGCCCAUCUGCCUCUAUUUUAUGUGGGAUGCCUACCACAGCAUGGUGUGCCAAGCAGUGUCACGCCCACACUCAGUAUCCGAACCCCCAGUCCCGGGGCCACUGAAGUGGAACAUUCGCACUUAACCGCUGCAGCAGUGGGCCGGCCCCGUCAAGCACUGUAAUUCUAUAACUCAUUUUAUUUUCAUGACAAACGCAUGAAGAGGAGGAAAUUGAGGUCGAGAGAGGUUAUUUUGCUCAAGUCUAUAGCUAAUUUAUAGGGUUUAGGCCUGUCUAAAUACAGAACCUCUGCUCAUAAGUAUUUUUGGAGUUCAAAACUCUAAAACAUUUGAAGUGCUGUGGACAAACUAGGAAAAGAGUUUCAACAAAUAUGACAAAAUUUAUAGAAUUGAAUUUUUUGAGAAUAUUAAAUGAUUACAUUUUCAACUCCAUUAAGAACACAAAGCUACAGACCAGUAGAAAAUAUUCACAAAACACUAUGUCUGACAAAGCAUACCCAGGAUAUACAAAGAACUCUUAAAUUCAACAAUAAAAAGACAAACAACCCAAUUAAAAAGGGCAAAAGAUUUUAGAUGACUCUUCACAAAAAGAAAUAUAUGAACAGCCAAUAAGCAUACGAAAAAAUGCUCGUCAUCAUUAGUGAUCAGAGCAAUGAAAAUCACAAGGAAAUACCGUUAUAUACUCACUGGUAUGUCUAUAAUUAAAAAGACAAACAUUAAGUGUUAACAAGGAUGUAGAACAAUUGGAACUCUCAUACAUGGUUCAACCAGUUUGGACAAAGUUUUACAGUUUCUUAAAGACUAAAUACAUA